UUCUUUACACAUGUUUUUUUUCCCACAGCAAUACUUCGAAAAUAGGAUCAAAUUUCUUGCAGCUCAGAAGAGUGCUGAGAAGAACCCAUAUCCUCACAAAUUCCAGGUUUCAUUGACCAUCCUGGAGUACAUAGAGAAAUACGGAGGCUUAAACAAUGGGCAACAUCUUAAAGACGUUGAAGUGUCUUUAGCUGGGAGAAUUAUGAACAAGCGAUCAUCUUCCGCAAAGUUGUUCUUUAAUGACCUACACAGUGCAGGGGGUAUGAUGCAAGAACAUCAGACUUGGAUGAAGCUGCAUUCUCGAAACUUCAUUCGGCUAUAAAGCGUGGAGAUAUUGUUGGUGUUGUUGGGCACCCAGGUUGAGAUACCUAUGAUGAACAUGGUUGCUAGAGGAGCAGCUGCACGUCCAUUUGUGACCCACCACAAUGAUCUGAAUAUGAGGCUUUUCAUGCGUAUCGCGCCUGAACUUUACCUUAAGGGACUAGAUCAUGUGUAUACUAUAUAGGAAAACAGUUCAGAAAUGAAGGCUUUGACUUGACCCAUAACCCAGAGUUUACCACAUGUGAGUUUAUAUGGCUUAUGCUGAUUAUAAUGACUUGAUGGAUCGAGCUAACCGAGCAAAUGCUGAGUGGUAAGAGCAAAUGCUGAUUGGUAAGUCAAACUCUCUUGAUGCCUUCUCUUGUAUUAUAUGUAUUCUAUAUAUAUAUGCUUUUUAGAUUUUUGGGGUUAAUGAAUUUAAAUUUUGAUAGGAAUGGUGAAGGAGCUUACUGGUGGUUACAAACUAAAGUAUCACUCAAAUGGGCUAGAAAAUGAUCCAAUUAAAAUUGAUUUUACACCUCC